AUGCUUGGAACAAUUGCCAUCAAAUUGCAGAUUUUGGAACUCAAUAUAAGCCACAAUUUACCAAACACCGGAUGGAGAUACUUUGCUAGAUGUGCCAAAGAAGAUAUUCACCGAAAACAAAAGCUUCAAUCACGCUGUUUAUCUUACGAAAUGAAACGACACUUCUACAUAAUCUUACUUAAAUCUCAGCAGUUACUUUAA
rnacentral:lncRNA from 1 species